GGGUAAAAGAUACCAUUUAUUGAAACUUCUAAUUUCAAAUUAAAGCGGUGAAAUUCCGUUUUUACCCCU
rnacentral:tRNA from 1 species